GACCUACUCACUCCGUCCAAAAAUACUUGUCCUCGAAAUGGAUAAAAUUGAUGUAUCUAUAACUAAAAUAAGUCUAGAUACAUCCAUUUCUAGGACAAGUAUUUCCGGACGGAGGGAGUAUUUG
rnacentral:pre_miRNA from 1 species